GGAGUUUGUAGCUCAGUUGGUUAGAGCGUCGGAUUGUGGUUCCGAAGGUCGAGGGUUCGAGACCCUCCAUUCUCCC
rnacentral:tRNA from 1 species